rnacentral:rRNA from 1 species
UGAAUGACGAAGUACUUCGGUAUGUAAAGUUCUUUUAUCAAGGAAGAAAAGCAAAUGGCGAACCAUUUGUUUGCCGGUACUUGAUGAAUAAGCCCCGGCUAAUUAUGUGCCAGCAGCCGCGGUAAGACAUAAGGGGCAAGUGUUAUCCGGAAUUAUUGGGCGUAAAGGGUGCGUAGGCGGUCUAGUAAGUCAGUGGUGUAAUGGCAACGCUUAACGUUGUCCGGCUAUUGAAACUGCUAAACUUGAGUUAGAUAGAGGCGAGUGGAAUUCCAUGUGUAGCGGUAAAAUGCGUAAAUAUAUGGAGGAACACCAGAGGCGUAGGCGGCUCGCUGGGUCUUAACUGACGCUGAGGCACGAAAGCGUGGGGAGCAAACAGGAUUAGAUACCCUGGUAGUCCACGCCGUAAACGAUGAGUACUAAGUGUCGGGUUAAACCGGUACUGAAGUUAACACAUUAAGUACUCCGCCUGAGUAGUACGUACGCAAGUAUGAAACUUAAAGGAAUUGACGGGACUCCGCACAAGCGGUGGAUCAUGUUGUUUAAUUCGAAGAUACCCGAAAAACCUUACCAGGUCUUGACAUGUUUUUGCAAAAUGAUAGUAAUAUCGUGGAGGUUACCAGAAACACAGGUGGUGCAUGGUUGUCGUCAGCUCGUGUCGUGAGAUGUUAGGUUAAGUCCUAAAACGAGCGAAACCCUUAUCGUUAGUUGCCAGCACGUUAUGGUGGGGACUUUAACGAGACUGCCAAUGAUAAAUUGGAGGAAGGUGAGGAUCACGUCAAAUCAGCAUGCCCCUUAUGACCUGUGCUACAAACGUGAUACGAUGGCUGUUAGA